rnacentral:rRNA from 1 species
GACGAACGCUGGCGGCGUGCUUAACACAUGCAAGUCGAACGGAAAGGCCCUGCUUGCAGGGUACUCGAGUGGCGAACGGGUGAGUAACACGUGGGUGAUCUGCCCUGCACUUCGGGAUAAGCCUGGGAAACUGGGUCUACUACCGGAUAGGAGCCAUUUUUAGUGUGAUGGUUGGAAAGUUUUUUCGGUGUAGGAUGAGCUCGCGGCCUAUCAGCUUGUUGGUGGGGUAAUGGCCUACCAAGGCGGCGACGGGUAGCCGGCCUGAGAGGGUGGACGGCCACAUUGGGACUGAGAUACGGCCCAGACUCCUACGGGAGGCAGCAGUGGGGAAUAUUGCACAAUGGGCGCAAGCCUGAUGCAGCGACGCCGCGUGGGGGAUGACGGCCUUCGGGUUGUAAACUCCUUUCGCUAGGGACGAAGCUUUUGUGACGGUACCUAGAUAAGAAGCACCGGCUAACUACGUG